UUUCCGUAGGUGAACCUGCGGAAGGAUCAUUCAUAAUAAAGUGUUUUAUGGCACUUUUUAAAAAUCCAUAUCCUCCUUGUGUGCAAUGUUAGUUCUCGUCAAUCUUGUCGAGAUUUUUAUACAUCAACUCAUUCUUUAACUAAUUUGUCUGAAAAAUAUUAUGAAUACUUAAUUCAAAAUACAACUUUCAACAACGGAUCUCUUGGCUCUC
rnacentral:misc_RNA from 1 species